rnacentral:rRNA from 1 species
GGUUAAGCGACUAAGCGUACACGGUGGAUGCCCUGGCAGUCAGAGGCGAUGAAGGGCGUGCUAAUCUGCGAUAAGCGCCGGUAAGGUGAUAUGAACCGUUAUAACCGGCGAUACCCGAAUGGGGAAACCCAGUGUGACUCGUCACACUAUCAUUAACUGAAUCCAUAGGUUAAUGAGGCGAACCGGGGGAACUGAAACAUCUAAGUACCCCGAGGAAAAGAAAUCAACCGAGAUUCCCCCAGUAGCGGCGAGCGAACGGGGAGGAGCCCAGAGCCUGAAUCAGCAUGUGUGUUAGUGGAAGCGUCUGGAAAGGCGCGCGAUACAGGGUGACAGCCCCGUACACAAAAGCGCAUGUGCUGUGAGCUCGAUGAGUAGGGCGGGACACGUGGUAUCCUGUCUGAAUAUGGGGGGACCAUCCUCCAAGGCUAAAUACUCCUGACUGACCGAUAGUGAACCAGUACCGUGAGGGAAAGGCGAAAAGAACCCCGGCGAGGGGAGUGAAAAAGAACCUGAAACCGUGUACGUACAAGCAGUGGGAGCCCCACCACUAAGCCAGUGGUGAACUCCACAUACGCAUCCUUUGCUGAGGAUACGGUUAACGGAGCGAAAGCGACGUUCAACCGCAAAAGAAGCAGAGGGGGCUUAGUGGUGGGGUGACUGCGUACCUUUUGUAUAAUGGGUCAGCGACUUAUAUUCUGUAGCAAGGUUAACCGCAUAGGGGAGCCGGAGGGAAACCGAGUCUUAAUUGGGCGUUAAGUUGCAGGGUAUAGACCCGAAACCCGGUGAUCUAGCCAUGGGCAGGUUGAAGGUUGGGUAACACUAACUGGAGGACCGAACCGACUAAUGUUGAAAAAUUAGCGGAUGACCUGUGGCUGGGGGUGAAAGGCCAAUCAAACCGGGAGAUAGCUGGUUCUCCCCGAAAGCUAUUUAGGUAGCGCCUCGUGAAUUCAUCUCCGGGGGUAGAGCACUGUUUCGGCUAGGGGGCCAUCCCGGCUUACCAACCCGAUGCAAACUGCGAAUACCGGAGAAUGUUAUCACGGGAGACACACGGCGGGUGCUAACGUCCGUCGUGAAGAGGGAAACAACCCAGACCGCCAGCUAAGGUCCCAAAGUCAUGGUUAAGUGGGAAACGAUGUGGGAAGGCCCAGACAGCCAGGAUGUUGGCUUAGAAGCAGCCAUCAUUUAAAGAAAGCGUAAUAGCUCACUGGUCGAGUCGGCCUGCGCGGAAGAUGUAACGGGGCUAAACCAUGCACCGAAGCUGCGGCAGCGACGCUUAUGCGUUGUUGGGUAGGGGAGCGUUCUGUAAGCCUGUGAAGGUGGCCUGUGAGGGUUGCUGGAGGUAUCAGAAGUGCGAAUGCUGACAUAAGUAACGAUAAAGCGGGUGAAAAGCCCGCUCGCCGGAAGACCAAGGGUUCCUGUCCAACGUUAAUCGGGGCAGGGUGAGUCGACCCCUAAGGCGAGGCCGAAAGGCGUAGUCGAUGGGAAACGGGUUAAUAUUCCCGUACUUGGUGUUACUGCGAAGGGGGGACGGAGAAGGCUAUGUUGGCCGGGCGACGGUUGUCCCGGUUUAAGCGUGUAGGUGUGUGUUCCAGGUAAAUCCGGUUCACUUUAACACUGAGGCGUGACGACGAGGCACUACGGUGCUGAAGCAACAAAUGCCCUGCUUCCAGGAAAAGCCUCUAAGCAUCAGGUAACAUCAAAUCGUACCCCAAACCGACACAGGUGGUCAGGUAGAGAAUACCAAGGCGCUUGAGAGAACUCGGGUGAAGGAACUAGGCAAAAUGGUGCCGUAACUUCGGGAGAAGGCACGCUGACACGUAGGUGAAGUGAUUUACUCAUGGAGCUGAAGUCAGUCGAAGAUACCAGCUGGCUGCAACUGUUUAUUAAAAACACAGCACUGUGCAAACACGAAAGUGGACGUAUACGGUGUGACGCCUGCCCGGUGCCGGAAGGUUAAUUGAUGGGGUCAGCGCAAGCGAAGCUCCUGAUCGAAGCCCCGGUAAACGGCGGCCGUAACUAUAACGGUCCUAAGGUAGCGAAAUUCCUUGUCGGGUAAGUUCCGACCUGCACGAAUGGCGUAAUGAUGGCCAGGCUGUCUCCACCCGAGACUCAGUGAAAUUGAACUCGCUGUGAAGAUGCAGUGUACCCGCGGCAAGACGGAAAGACCCCGUGAACCUUUACUAUAGCUUGACACUGAACAUUGAGCCUUGAUGUGUAGGAUAGGUGGGAGGCUUUGAAGUGUGGACGCCAGUCUGCAUGGAGCCGACCUUGAAAUACCACCCUUUAAUGUUUGAUGUUCUAACGUGGACCCGUAAUCCGGGUUGCGGACAGUGUCUGGUGGGUAGUUUGACUGGGGCGGUCUCCUCCUAAAGAGUAACGGAGGAGCACGAAGGUUGGCUAAUCCUGGUCGGACAUCAGGAGGUUAGUGCAAUGGCAUAAGCCAGCUUGACUGCGAGCGUGACGGCGCGAGCAGGUGCGAAAGCAGGUCAUAGUGAUCCGGUGGUUCUGAAUGGAAGGGCCAUCGCUCAACGGAUAAAAGGUACUCCGGGGAUAACAGGCUGAUACCGCCCAAGAGUUCAUAUCGACGGCGGUGUUUGGCACCUCGAUGUCGGCUCAUCACAUCCUGGGGCUGAAGUAGGUCCCAAGGGUAUGGCUGUUCGCCAUUUAAAGUGGUACGCGAGCUGGGUUUAGAACGUCGUGAGACAGUUCGGUCCCUAUCUGCCGUGGGCGCUGGAGAACUGAGGGGGGCUGCUCCUAGUACGAGAGGACCGGAGUGGACGCAUCACUGGUGUUCGGGUUGUCAUGCCAAUGGCACUGCCCGGUAGCUAAAUGCGGAAGAGAUAAGUGCUGAAAGCAUCUAAGCACGAAACUUGCCCCGAGAUGAGUUCUCCCUGAGACUUAGAGUCUCCUGAAGGAACGUUGAAGACGACGACGUUGAUAGGCCGGGUGUGUAAGCGCAGCGAUGCGUUGAGCUAACCGGUACUAAUGAACCGUGAGGCUUAACCUU